rnacentral:rRNA from 1 species
CACCCUCUAAGGCUAAAUACUACCAUGUGACCGAUAGUGAACAAGUACCGUGAGGGAAAGGUGAAAAGAACCCCGGAAGGGGAGUGAAAUAGAAUCUGAAACCUUGUGCUUACAAUCAGUGGAAGCAGACAGGAUCUGUAACCACGUACUUUUUGUAGAACGGGCCAGCGAGUUAUGGUAAUAGGCGAGGUUAAGAAGUUAAGCUUCGAAGCCGUAGGGAAACCGAGUGUGAAUAGCGCAAAAGUCUGUUGCUAUAGACCCGAAACUGGGUGAUCUAUCCAUGGGCAGAGUGAAGUUGAAGUAAAAUUCAAUGGAGGCUCGAACCGGGUAACGUUUAAAAGUUAUCGGAUGACUUGUGGAUAGGGGUGAAAAGCCAAUCGAACUCAGAGAUAGCUGGUUCUCCUCGAAAUAGCUUUAGGGCUAGCGUUGAUUUAAGACUACCGGAGGUAGAGCACUGAAUGGCCGCGGGGCAUAUGAUGUUACCAAGGUCUAUCAAACUCCGAAUACCGGAUAGUUAUAAUCAGCAGUCAGAACGUGAGGGAUAAGCUUCACGCUCAAAAGGGAAACAGCCCAGACCGUCAGCUAAGGUCCCCAAAUUAUGUUAAGUGGAUAAGGAUGUGAUUCUACUCAGACAACUAGGAUGUUGGCUUAGAAGCAGCCACUCAUUUAAAGAGUGCGUAAUAGCUCACUAGUCAAGUGGGGUUGCGCCGAAGAUAAACGGGGCUAAACAUAAUACCGAAGCUACGGAACUUAGAGACAAGAAGUAAAUGAUUUAGAUUUACCAGAAAUACAAACACAAAAGACGAAAUUAAAUUUCAAUACGAAAGACAUCAAGAUUAUCUCCAAGAUAAGAAGAAAGUAAUGAGAAACAAUUUCAAGGAUUAACAGUAAAUUUAGAAAAUUUACUUCUCGUCUCUAGGUUGGUAGAGGAGCAUUGUGUAUACGAAGAAGCUGAAUCGGAAGAUAGGUGGAGAAUACACAAGAGAGAAUGCUGGCAUGAGUAGCGAGAAGGUGAGUGAGAAUCUCACCCGUCGAAAACCUAAGGUUUCCUGGGCAAGGCUCGUCCCCCCAGGGUAAGUCGGGACCUAAGCCGAGGCUAAAAAGCGUAGGCGAUGGAUAACAGGUUGAAAUUCCUGUACUGCUAGUAAUCGUUUGAGAGAUGUGUUGACGCAGAAGGUUAACUUAAGCACACUAAUGGAUGUGUGUCUAAGCGCAAAGUUAGGCCUGGGAGGCAAAUCCCCUAGGUAUCGAUGAAGCGUGAUGGGGACCGAAAAAUAAGUAGGGAAGUAAGUGACACCAUGCUGCCGAGAAAAGACGCUAUCGAGAUUAAAAGCACCCGUACCGCAAACCGACACAGGUAGGAAGGAAGAGAAUUCUAAGACGCGCGGAAGAACCAUUGUUAAGGAACUCGGCAAAAUUACCCCGUAACUUCGGGAGAAGGGGUGCCAUCGCAAGAUGGCCGCAGUGAAUUGGCCCAAGCGACUGUUUACCAAAAACACAAGUAUCUGCUAAGUUGUAAGACGAAGUAUAGGUGCUGACACCUGCCCGGUGCUGGAAGGUUAAGGGGAAGGCUUAGCGCAAGCGAAGGCUAGAACUUAAGCCCCAGUAAACGGCGGCCGUAACUAUAACGGUCCUAAGGUAGCGAAAUUCCUUGUCGGGUAAGUUCCGACCCGCACGAAAGGUGUAACGAUUUGGGCACUGUCUCAACAAUGGAUCCGGUGAAAUUGUAUUAGUCGUGAAGAUGCGACUUACCCACGCUAGGACGGAAAGACCCCGUGGAGCUUUACUGUAGUUUGAUAUUGGAUUUUGAGGCUAAAUGUAGAGUAUAUGUGGGAGACUGUGAAAUAGUGGCGCCAGUUGCUAUGGAGUCGCCGUUGGAAUACCACACUUUUAGCUUUAAGGUUCUAACCACGCACCCUGAAUCGGGUGUUGGGACAUUGUCAGAUGGACAGUUUGACUGGGGCGGUCGCCUCCUAAAAAGUAACGGAGGCGUUCAAAGGUUCGCUCAGAAUGGACGGAAACCAUUUAUAGAGUGUAAAGGCAAAAGCGAGCUUAACUGCGACACCUACAAGUGGAGCAGAUACGAAAGUAGGACUUAGUGAUCCGGUGGUACCGAGUGGAAGGGCCAUCGCUCAACGGAUAAAAGCUACCCCGGGGAUAACAGGCUUAUCUCCCCCAAGAGUUCACAUCGACGGGGAGGUUUGGCACCUCGAUGUCGGCUCGUCUCAUCCUGGGGCUGGAGUAGGUCCCAAGGGUUGGGCUGUUCGCCCAUUAAAGAGGCACGCGAGCUGGGUUCAGAACGUCGCGAGACAGUUCGGUCCCUAUCCAGCGUGGGCGUAAGAAAUUUGAGAGGAGCUGUCCCUAGUACGAGAGGACCGGGAUGGACAGACCGCUGGUGUAUCAGUUGUCAUGCCAAUGGCACGGCUGAGUAGCUAAGUCUGGAAGGGAUAAGUGCUGAAGGCAUCUAAGUACGAAGCCCCCCUCAAGAUAAGAUUUCUAAAAGAGUCCUUGU